ACAUCACUCUCAGCAAUUGAUUUCUCGGCUUUCACAUCGAUGAAGAGAGCAGCGAAAUGCGAUACGUGGUGUGAAUUGCAGAAUCCUGCAAACCAUCGAGUCUUUGAACGCAAGUUACGCCCCAGGCCAACCGGCCGAGGGCACGUCCGCCUGGGCAUCAAGC
rnacentral:rRNA from 1 species